UACUAGAGUAGCACUCGCAUAUCAAUAAGCGGAGGAAAAGAAACUAACAAGGAUUCCCCUAGUAACGGCGAGUGAAGCGGGAAGAGCUCAAAUUUGAAAUCUUAAAGGGUUUCCCUUUACGAAUUGUAGUUUAAAGAAGUGUUUUCUGUUGAGGUUUUGGUAAAAGUUCUUUGGAAUAGGACAUCAUAGAGGGUGAGAAUCCCGUAUUUGACCUUUACUUUCAACUUUGUGAUACACUUUCAAAGAGUCGGAUUGUUUGGGAAUGCAGUCCAAAAUGGGUGGUAAAUUUCAUCUAAAGCUAAAUAUUGGCGAGAGACCGAUAGCGAACAAGUACCGUGAGGGAAAGAUGAAAAGAACUUUGAAAAGAGAGUUAAACAGUACGUGAAAUUGUCAAAAGGGAAGCGUUUGACACCAGUGCUGUUUUUCUGAAAAUCAAUUAAAGAACUGUUUAUGCUAAGUUGUUUAGACUUUAUCAGCUAACUGUUUAGUUUUGAGCUUUUCUUUAAUGCACUUUUCAGUUAACAAGUCAACAUCAAUUUCUUUUGCUGUAAAAAAGCUUGAGGAAGGUGGCUUGAGAUUCGUCUUAAGUGUUUAUAGCCUCUUGCCUAUGCAGUCGGAGAGAUUGAGGUCUGCAGCGUAGAUCCUUCGGGGCUAAAUGCAUUUGUGCUAAGUUAUAGCAUUUUAUAGACAACUUGUUGACUAUGAUUUGUCUUGUAGCUUACUCGCUUAUGUUAUUUUACCUACGCUUAGGAUGUUGAGCGCAUGUCUCUCUCU
rnacentral:rRNA from 1 species